UCAGCUGUGCCCUGGUGCGGGUCAUUAUUGUACUAGACAAUUGAGUUCUUAUAAAAUCCUGUGAGUUGUUACUUUUUUUUGUUUUUUUCAGAAUUCUUAUGACAGAUAUUAGACAUACUGAAUCCAAUCUUUUCCAUUUUUAUUUUGGGGUGUAACGUAUUUUACGGCAUCCUGUUUCAUGGAUGCAGUGGCAUGUUUGUGCAUUAAGACUUCACACCAAUUUUGACACCCUCUUCUCAUCUCCGUGCAGCUUAGAUUGUCACUUCACCUGCUUGCUAAGUCCGAUGCACGCCUGCAUUUUACCAUGCAGAAAUAUGUUCAAGCCACUCAUCCUCUCAUGUCUCUUCACCAGUUCUUUUGUUAUGCUGGCAUAUACCUUUGUUUUUAUUUAUAUUCAAGUUUCCAGACAUAGCAUUAAUGCCUUUACUUUUGUGUUUUUAUUUCUGUACACUGUCUUGCUGGGUCUCUGGAGAUGACUUGGCUCAUCUUUAACCAGAGGUGCUGCGUGAGGGUUUUUAUCAGAGACUGCAACACAAAGUCAGGUGCAUGGCUUGGGUGUCUUGUUUGGGGAUGUUUCUCUUUUUAGAUCACUGUUUCCCAUAAUAACGUGUUUUUGCUACUAAAGCAUCGACAGGUUUUGCUUGAAAUUUUUUCCAAAAAUUACCGGGUACGCCGAAACAUGAUCCAGUCUCGGUUGACUCAAGAGUGUGGAGAAGAUCUCAGUAAACAGGAGGUGGAUAAAGUACUAAAGGACUGCUGUGUAAGCUAUGGUGGCAUGUGGUACCUUAAAGGGACAGUACAGUCUUGACAAUAGUAGCAAACUACUAACCCAGCAAAUCUAAGCCCAAGGAAGAAGGGCGGAACCAGAAGUAGGGCCUCAACUUGCUUCAGACGACACAGAGCAAGAGGAACUGACCAUCUCAUGACCUGUGGCAUUGCACGGUGCAGUGGACAGAAGGGAUUAUCCUCAGCCAGUCGCAGGGUCAGCUUAAGUUAGAUCACUCCCAGAAGAGACCAGCUGGGACCUUCUUUGCAGUACAAUUUGAAAUUCCUGAUGUAUUUUGCUUAUUAUUUGGUUUCAUUCUCAUAAUAAAGAGAGUGUAUACUGACAUGGGCAGGAUGAUAAAAAUCAUGGUUUAAUAUUUUCUUUUGUAAACUUAAUGCCAACAAGGUCUAAGUUAUGUUUACAACAUGAAGAAAACCUCAAAGUUCUUAAUUUUUAAAAUGCCUAGAAGACAAUAUUUAGUCUUGGAUUAUCUAUCUGCUAAGACCUCCACCAAUUUCAUUAAACCAAAUUGAAUUAUUCUAUUCUUGGGAUUCUGUGGCCACUUCACCUUUGACAACAACCUACUUUAUGUAGCAGUCUCAACUGUUUACAUGAACCAUAGCAAAAAAAUCAAUCAAAUCCAUCUCCUUUUAAUGUUUGCAGAAAGAUGCAAACAAAACCAGGUAAGUAUGGAACAAUGUGUAAGUGAGGUUAUCACACUUUGAUGUAAAAAUUUCUAUUUUGUGUAUUUUUAAAAUAAAUGCAAACACUAAACUA
rnacentral:sRNA from 1 species